UGGGGAAUAUUGGACAAUGGGCGCAAGCCUGAUCCAGCAAUGCCUCGUGUGUGAAGAAGGCCUUCGGGUUGUAAAGCACUUUUAUCAGGAGCGAAAUCUGCAGGGCUAAUACCCAUGCAGUCUGACGGUACCUGAGGAAUAAGCACCGGCUAACUCCGUGCCAGCAGCCGCGGUAAUACGGAGGGUGCAAUCGUUAAUCGGAAUUACUGGGCGUAAAGCGUGCGUAGGCGGUUCGUUAAGUCUGCUGUGAAAGCCCCGGGCUCAAUCUGGGAAUGGCAGUGGAUACUGGCGAGCUAGAGUGUGAUAGAGGAUGGUGGAAUUCCCGGUGUAGCGGUGAAAUGCGUAGAGAUCGGGAGGAACAUCAGUGGCGAAGGCGGCCAUCUGGAUCAACACUGACGCUGAGGCACGAAAGCGUGGGGAGCAAACA
rnacentral:rRNA from 1 species